rnacentral:lncRNA from 1 species
UGAAUCAUUACAGGUACCGUUGAUGACUUGAUCUGUUGGUGACUCUUGGUCCUGUUAGUGACUUGGUUCUUGUAGUAUGGAUUCCAGAUGACCUUGGGUUCCAGAUGACUUUGAUUUGUGGUUCCCAGCUCCGAAUUCAUGCCGAAGCUCUGAUCCUGUGUCUUGAGAUACACAACCAACCAGUCAUAUUUGCAUCAUAGUAUGUUUAUUUUCAAAAAAAU